AUUCUACUCCCUCCGUUGCACAAUACAUGCCUUCUAUUUGUCAAAAUAUAUAUGUAUCUAGACAUGUUUUAGUAUAUAGGUACAUCCAUUUUUGGACAAACUGAAGUCAAGUAUUUUGGAAUGGAGGGAGUAAAUA
rfam:Triticum aestivum genome assembly, contig: Triticum_aestivum_CS42_TGACv1_scaffold_576930_7BL